rnacentral:tRNA from 1 species
UUAAUUGAAACCAAAAUAGAGGUAUAUCACUGUUAAUGAUAAAAUUGGGUAAAUCCCCAAUUAAA